rfam:Aeromicrobium choanae strain 9H-4 genome assembly, chromosome: I
UUGGUUCCGGUUCACGGUCCGCACCCGCGUCCCGACCCGGCGACC